rnacentral:rRNA from 1 species
UAUGAAGGGUGCAAGCGUUGUUCGGAAUUACUGGGCGUAAAGCGCGCGUAGGCGGGUCUGUAAGUCGAUUGUGAAAGCCCCGGGCUUAACCUGGGAAUUGCAGUCGAAACUACAGAUCUUGAAUGUCUGAGAGGAUGGCGGAAUUCCCGGUGUAGUAGUGAAAUACGUAGAUAUCGGGAAGAACACCUGAGGCGAAGGCGGCUAUCUGGCGGUACAUUGACGCUGAGGAGCGAAAGCGUGGGGAGCAAACAGG